GUGCCAGCAGCCGCGGUAAUACGGAGGGUCCGAGCGUUAAUCGGAAUUACUGGGCGUAAAGCGCGCGUAGGUGGUUUAUUAAGUCAGAUGCGAAAUCCCCGGGCUCAACCUGGGAACUGCAUUUGAUACUGGUAGGCUAGAGUUUGGUAGAGGUGAGUGGAAUUCCAGGUGUAGCGGUGAAAUGCGUAGAGAUCUGGAGGAACAUCAGUGGCGAAGGCGACUCACUGGGCCAAUACUGACACUGAGGUGCGAAAGCGUGGGUAGCAAACAGGAUUAGAUACCCGGGUAGUCC
rnacentral:rRNA from 1 species